CGUGACAGCCUGGCAGAUAUGUCAGAAGAGCUGUGCCCCAGCUCAGCCGACACCCCAGUGCCUCUGCCCUUCUUUGUGCGCACGGCGAACCAGGGCAAUGGCACCGGUGAGGCCCGGGACAUGUAUGUGCCAAAUCCUUCUUGCCGAGACUUUGCCAAGUAUGAGUGGAUUGGACAGUUGAUGGGGGCUGCCCUUCGGGGUAAGGAGUUCCUGGUGCUGGCCCUGCCUGGGUUCGUGUGGAAGCAGCUGUCUGGUGAGGAGGUGAGCUGGAGCAAAGACUUCCCAGCUGUGGACUCCGUGCUGGUGAAGCUCCUGGAAGUGAUGGAAGGAGUGGACAAGGAGACGUUUGAGUUCAAGUUUGGGAAGGAGCUAACAUUCACCACGGUCCUGAGUGAUCAACAGGUCGUGGAGCUGAUUCCUGGGGGCACAGGCAUCGUGGUGGGAUACGAGGACCGCUUGCGUUUCAUCCAGCUGGUGCAGAAGGCGCGGUUAGAGGAGAGCAAGGAGCAGGUGGCAGCCAUGCAGGCAGGUCUGCUGAAGGUGGUACCACAGGCUGUGCUGGACUUGCUGACCUGGCAAGAGCUGGAAAAGAAGCUCGGUUUGAGGACUUCGAACCAUCUGACACCCGAGUGCAGUACUUUU
rnacentral:lncRNA from 1 species